rnacentral:rRNA from 1 species
ACAUGCAGUCGAGCGGUAGCACAGAGAGCUUGCUCUCGGGUGACGAGCGGCGGACGGGUGAGUAAUGUCUGGGAAACUGCCUGAUGGAGGGGGAUAACUACUGGAAACGGUAGCUAAUACCGCAUAAUGUCGCAAGACCAAAGUGGGGGACCUUCGGGCCUCAUGCCAUCAGAUGUGCCCAGAUGGGAUUAGCUAGUAGGUGGGGUAACGGCUCACCUAGGCGACGAUCCCUAGCUGGUCUGAGAGGAUGACCAGCCACACUGGAACUGAGACACGGUCCAGACUCCUACGGGAGGCAGCAGUGGGGAAUAUUGCACAAUGGGCGCAAGCCUGAUGCAGCCAUGCCGCGUGUGUGAAGAAGGCCUUCGGGUUGUAAAGCACUUUCAGCGGGGAGGAAGGCGGUGAGGUUAAUAACCUCGUCGAUUGACGUUACCCGCAGAAGAAGCACCGGCUAACUCCGUGCCAGCAGCGGCGGUAAUAAA